AGAGUUUGAUCCUGGCUCAGGACGAACGCUGGCGGCGUGCUUAACACAUGCAAGUCGAACGGACCUUUUUUGGAAGAAGCCUUCGGGUGGAAAUUAGGAAAGGUUAGUGGCGGACGGGUGAGUAACGCGUAGAUAAUCUACCUUAAAGACUGGGACAACAGUUGGAAACGACUGCUAAUACCGGAUACGCUGCACAUAGGGCAUCCUAGGUGCAGGAAAAGAGGCCUCUUAACAAUGCUCCUGCUUUUAGAUGAGUCUGCGUCUGAUUAGCUAGAUGGUGGGGUAACGGCUUACCAUGGCGACGAUCAGUAGUCGGCCUGAGAGGGUGACCGGCCACAUUGGGACUGAGACACGGCCCAAACUCCUACGGGAGGCAGCAGUGGGGAAUCUUCCGCAAUGGGCGAAAGCCUGACGGAGCAACGCCGCGUGAUCGAAUGAAGGCCUUCGGGUUGUAAAGAUCUGUUGACAGGGACGAAUAAGCAAUGCGAAUAGUUUUGUGUAUGACGGUACCUGUUUAGAAAGCUCCGGCUAACUACGUGCCAGCAGCCGCGGUAAUACGUAGGGAGCAAGCGUUGUCCGGAAUUACUGGGCGUAAAGGGCGCGUAGGUGGGCGCUUAAGUCAGGUGUGAAAACUCCGGGCUCAACCUGGAGACUGCACUUGAAACUGGGUGUCUUGAGGGCAGGAGAGGAAAGUGGAAUUCCUAGUGUAGCGGUGAAAUGCGUAGAUAUUAGGAGGAACACCAGUGGCGAAGGCGACUUUCUGGACUGUACCUGACGCUGAGGCGCGAAAGCGUGGGUAGCGAACGGGAUUAGAUACCCCGGUAGUCCACGCCGUAAACGAUGAAUACUAGGUGUAGGAGGUAUCGACUCCUUCUGUGCCGCAGCAAACGCAAUAAGUAUUCCGCCUGGGGACUACGGUCGCAAGACUAAAACUCAAAGGAAUUGACGGGGACCCGCACAAGCGGUGGAGCAUGUGGUUUAAUUCGAAGCAACGCGAAGAACCUUACCAGGCCUUGACAUCUGCCUGACAGGGUAUGUAAUGUACCUUCCCUCCGGGGCAGGCAAGACAGGUGGUGCAUGGUUGUCGUCAGCUCGUGUCGUGAGAUGUUGGGUUAAGUCCCGCAACGAGCGCAACCCCUGCCCACAGUAGCCAGCGCGCAAAGGCGGGCACUCUGUGGGGACUGCCAGGGACAACCUGGAGGAAGGUGGGGAUGACGUCAAAUCAUCAUGCCCCUUAUGGCCUGGGCUAUACACGUGCUACAAUGGCGUAACAGAGGGAGGCGAAGCCGCGAGGCGGAGCAAACCCCAAAAAUAACGUCCCAGUUCGGACUGCAGCCUGCAACCCGGCUGCACGAAGCUGGAAUCGCUAGUAAUCGCGGAUCAGAAUGCCGCGGUGAAUACGUUCCCGGGUCUUGUACACACCGCCCGUCA
rnacentral:rRNA from 1 species